rnacentral:rRNA from 1 species
CGGGGGAUCGCAAGACCUCGUGCUCAUAGAGCGGCCGAUAUCUGAUUAGCUAGUUGGUGAGGUAAAGGCUCACCAAGGCUUCGAUCAGUAGCUGGUCUGAGAGGACGACCAGCCACACUGGGACUGAGACACGGCCCAGACUCCUACGGGAGGCAGCAGUGGGGAAUUUUGGACAAUGGGGGCAACCCUGAUCCAGCAAUGCCGCGUGAGUGAAGAAGGCCUUCGGGUUGUAAAGCUCUUUUGUCAGGGAAGAAACGGGAUGUCCUAAUACGAUGUCCUAAUGACGGUACCUGAAGAAUAAGCACCGGCUAACUACGUGCCAGCAGCCGCGGUAAUACGUAGGGUGCAAGCGUUAAUCGGAAUUACUGGGCGUAAAGCGUGCGCAGGCGGUUAUGUAAGACAGGUGUGAAAUCCCCGGGCUUAACCUGGGAAUGGCAUUUGUGACUGCAUAGCUAGAGUGUGUCAGAGGGGGGUAGAAUUCCACGUGUAGCAGUGAAAUGCGUAGAGAUGUGGAGGAAUACCGAUGGCGAAGGCAGCCCCCUGGGAUAACACUGACGCUCAG